rnacentral:rRNA from 1 species
UGGGGAAUAUUGCACAAUGGGCGCAAGCCUGAUGCAGCCAUGCCGCGUGUAUGAAGAAGGCCUUCGGGUUGUAAAGUACUUUCAGUCGGGAGGAAGGUGGUAAGGUUAAUAACCUUAUCAAUUGACGUUACCGACAGAAGAACCACCGGCUAACUCCGUGCCAGCAGCCGCGGUAAUACGGAGGGUGCAAGCGUUAAUCGGAAUUACUGGGCGUAAAGCGCACGCAGGCGGUUGAUUGAGUCAGAUGUGAAAUCCCCGGGCUUAACCCGGGAAUUGCAUCUGAUACUGGUCAGCUAGAGUCUUGUAGAGGGGGGUAGAAUUCCAUGUGUAGCGGUGAAAUGCGUAGAGAUGUGGAGGAAUACCGGUGGCGAAGGCGGCCCCCUGGACAAAGACUGACGCUCAGGUGCGAAAGCGUGGGGAGCAAACAGG